CGAGAACACCCGGCGAAUUUAAGCAUAUUACUAACCGGAGGAAAAGAAACCAACAGGGGACGUCCUCAGUAGCGGCGAGCGAAGCGGACGAUGCCCAAACCGAACCGCGGUUCCCCGAGGGGGGCCGCGGAGUGUGGAGAGGAUGAGCUCGCGAGGGGGCGGGACGGGGUUCCAAUCCGGUCUGGAAGGGCGGAGGCACGGAGGGCGAUUCCCCGUACGUGCUCGGUCCGUCCCCGACGAGCGAACGCAUCGGAGAGUCGGGCCGCUUGAGAGUGCAGCCCGAAUGGGGUGAUAGGUCUCAUCCAAGGCUAAGUACGUGGGAGACGCCGAUAGCGAACAAGUACGGCGACGGAAAGGUGAAAAGAACCUCGAAAGGGGGGUCAAAAGCGCUCGAAAUCGUAGAGGGGGAAGCGGACCUGACCGACGAGACCUCGUCGUCGCUCGCGCUCGACCCACGCUUCGUCGCGGAGUUCCGGAG
rnacentral:rRNA from 1 species